GUCUUGGUGGCUCAGUUGGUUAGAGCGUUGGUCUCAUACGAACAUGAUUCAAUCAUAGAUUGGGCCAUCCAAAGGUCGUGAGUUCGAGUCUCACCCAGGACA
rnacentral:tRNA from 1 species